rnacentral:lncRNA from 1 species
AAGCAAACCAUAAGGAGCCACAAGCACUACCCCAAUGUAGCAUCUCUGGAAGGAAGUUUCACAUGAGAUGAGGAAAUGCA